GACGAACGCUGGCGGCGUGCUUAACACAUGCAAGUCGAACGGUAAGGCCCUUCGGGGUACACGAGUGGCGAACGGGUGAGUAACACGUGGGUGAUCUGCCCUGCACUUCGGGAUAAGCCUGGGAAACUGGGUCUAAUACCGGAUAGGACCACUGGCUUCAUGGUUGGGGGUGGAAAGCUUUUGCGGUGUGGGAUGGGCCCGCGGCCUAUCAGCUUGUUGGUGGGGUAAUGGCCUACCAAGGCGACGACGGGUAGCCGGCCUGAGAGGGUGACCGGUCACACUGGGACUGAGAUACGGCCCAGACUCCUACGGGAGGCAGCAGUGGGGAAUAUUGCACAAUGGGCGCAAGCCUGAUGCAGCGACGCCGCGUGAGGGAUGACGGCCUUCGGGUUGUAAACCUCUUUCAGCUAUGACGAAGCGCAAGUGACGGUAGUAGCAGAAGAAGGACCGGCCAACUACGUGCCAGCAGCCGCCGUAA
rnacentral:rRNA from 1 species